rnacentral:lncRNA from 1 species
CGCGUUUAGAGGAUCAGUGGCGGCGGGCCCGCGCGGUGCCGGCGACUAGCAGCGAGGUGUCCUGGCCCCUUCCAGGUUUGGGAGAAUGGAGAGAGCAAGGUGUAGCUGAUUAGCAAGUUAAUUAUUUCAGUACCCCAAGGGUUCAUGCGUGGUGGAGAUGGCCUUGGGAGAGCAACCUCUGGACCUCAGCAGUGUGAGCAUGACAACAGUACCCUGUGGUGCUGUCCCCACUCAGGGUUUCUCAUCCUGGAACUCACUCUGUAGAUCAGGCUGUCCUCAAACUCAGAGAUCCACCUGCCUCUGCCUCUGAAGUCCUGGGAAUGCAGAGGCCUCCCAGAGAAGUGUGAAGGGAUGGGCCUUAACCAGGGUUGAAGAAAGAAAGUGAAGAAGGGGAGAGCCCAAGGAAAGGUGGGGACAGUUGGAACUUUUGAUUACACUGGUCUACUUCUCAUGUAUCAUAUGCUAUGAUCUCCAAAUUCCACAUUUAUUGUAGCUGUCUGCAGUGUGUACGCCCCGGCCGCAUGCUGCUUGGCUAAAAAAGUGUUAAAUAAAACUGUAAGAAACGCUA